AUGAGCUGGGUGCGCCAGAGACCUGGGCAGGGGCUGGAAUGGGUUGGAGUGGUCAACAAGGGUGGAUCCAGCACCUUCUACACGCCAUCGGUCAAGGGCCAGGCGACCGUGACCCUGCUGGAGUGCGGGGGGGACCUCCAGCCCCCCGGGGGGUCCCUGCGCCUCCUCUGCCGAGGGUCCGGGUUCGAUUUUGGAGGUUCCACUCUGUAUUGGAUCCGCCAGAGACCUGGGCAGGCACUGGAGUGGCUCACUGGGUUCAGCGGCAGCGCCAACUACGCGCCAUCGGUGAAGGGCCAGUUCACGAUCUCCAAGGACAACGGGCAGAGCUUGGUGACGCUGACCAUGAACAACCUCAAGGACGAGGAUUCCACCGUUUAUUUCUGUGCCAAAGCAACUGGUGCUUAUAGCAAUGGUGGUGCUGCUUAUGGCCUCACGUCAGGAAUUUUAGCCCAAGGUUUAAAUUCUUGA